rnacentral:sRNA from 1 species
ACCAAUUUCAGCAUUUAACUCAGAUGCUGAACGUGAAGGAUAACGUUGCGUCAGCAACGGCCCGAAGGGCGAGGCGAAGUCGAGUCAUCCUGCACGACCCACCA